rnacentral:rRNA from 1 species
UACAGAGGUCUCAAGCGUUGUUCGGAUUCAUUGGGCGUAAAGGGUGCGUAGGCGGCGCUGUAAGUGGGGUGUGAAAUCCCGGGGCUUAACUCCGGAACUGCAUUCCAUACUGCGGUGCUUGAGGACUGGAGAGGAGACUGGAAUUUACGGUGUAGCAGUGAAAUGCGUAGAGAUCGUAAGGAAGACCAGUGGCGAAGGCGGGUCUCUGGACAGUUCCUGACACUGAGGCACGAAGGCCAGGGGAGCAAACGGG